rnacentral:lncRNA from 1 species
UGUUGAAAGAUCUCAGCUGAUUCUGCCAAGUCAGAAUGUCUAAAACAGACUUUAUUGAGAGGAAAUGGAUUUAAUAACUUAUAAAACCACAGUUUCUAUUUAAUUCUUGAUUUAAAAAGUGAAUGUAGGGUAAAGGAAGGUUUGGACAUUGCUGGGGGACCUGGUUUAACCAACCCAACAGAAGAAAGGAAGAAGAGAUUUUUCCUGUGGCUUGAUUAUGGCAGUGUUUCACAUCCCAGGACGGAUCUUGUUUGGUUCUUGGGCUCCUGCUGCUGGAAUUUGGGAGAAGGAAUGCUGCAGUGCUUUUUAAUCUGAAUAAGCUCUGUCCAUCCAGAGCUCCAUAUAGACAGAAUCACAAUUUGGAAAGGUGAUGCUUUCUCAUACCUGUCAAUGAAAAGAGAAAAUAUUUUUAUAUGGGUUGUACAGUUGACAGCCUGGAUCUGCUGGCGGGGUUAUAAGAUCUGUUUGAAGUACCUGGACUUCAGGAUUGGGCAAUGAUAAUGAACUGAGAGAUGGGCACAGGGCUGCUGCUUGACAAUCAUCUUUUGGUUGGCCUCCACCAAGUGCUGAUUUGGGCUGACACGUGAGUACCUGAUAGCACAAGGUUGGUGCCACUUGUGGAGGGUAUUUUACAAAACACAAAAUAGAUGAAAGUCUGUAAACCUGAUUCAUCUUUUUUUAAGUCUCUUAUCUUCUGCCACUGCAAAAGACUCAGGUC